GAAGUAAGUUUUAUUCUAGCUAAAAAAUCAUUAUUAAAUAUAGUAACAUGUAAAGUUUUAUUCUAAAUGAAUUAAUUGCAGUUAAUAAAUUUUUAUAAAUAAGUGAAUUUAGAUAAAGUAAAUUUAGGUAAUAUUGAUUAAAUAUGUGCCAGCAUUCGCGGUUAAACAUAAAAUAUAAGUGAUUUUUUUUAAGAUGAAAUAAAUAUAAUUAUUUUUAUUUAUUAAAUUAUUUUAUGAAGUGAAAUAUAAUAAUAAUAAAAUGAAUUUUGAAUAAAAUUAAAUUUUUCGAAACAUUAAUAAUAAACUAGGAUUAGAUACCCUAUUAUAUAAUAAUUAAAAUGAAGUGGUCUUAAAUAUUAAUAGUUAUGGUCUUUAAACUUAAAGAAUUUGACGGUAUUUUAUCCUUUUAGAGGAAUCUGUUCUGUAAUUGAUAAUACACGAAUAGAUUUACUUAGUUUUGUUUAAUUUGUAUAUCAUUGUCAAAAAAUUAUCUUAAGAAAAGAAUAUUUUUAAUAAAAAAUAAUAAUUUGUAUGUCAAAUCAUGAUGCAGUAUAUAACUAAGGUAGAAAUGGAUUACAUUUUUAUAGUAAACGAAUAAGUUAUUUAAUAAAACUAUUGAAGUUGGAUUUAAAUGUAAAUUAAUAUAUUGUUUAAUUGAUUAAGGUUCUAAAAUAUGUACAUAUCGCCCGUCACUCUCAUUUAAGAUGAGAUAAGUCGUAACAAAGUAGAUGUACUGGAAAGUGUAUCUAGAAAG
rnacentral:ncRNA from 1 species